rnacentral:rRNA from 1 species
AUGAUUUUUGGCAUUUUGCUUCUUCAUUCACAUCGCUUCAUUAAUUCAUUUUUGAAGCCUAGCUGCGGCCUUUGGGGCGAACAACUGGCCGCGCAAGCAAAUGGCCGGGCAGGUAUGGUGCUUUUCGCUGCUAUGAACAUCUUGUAUCGUGUGGUAACAUUUUACGUGCUAUGUUCGUUGUCCGUAGUGAGUGGUAGUUUUUUUAUACUUGUAAUUCACAAAGCUAUGGUACACCUAGAUGUAUUCUGCCUAGCUAGAGCAACUAUGGACCAUCUCAAAACACUUAACCCCCAGGAAUUUAUUGGUAUUAUGAGCGUGGAAUCUAACCCAUUCCCAAAACCUAAGUUCCAAAAGAGAUUCUUUUUGCUAAACAAUCCUUCUUUUUAA